rnacentral:misc_RNA from 1 species
ACACGGGGCCGGACCUCUACGUGCGACGUUUUGAGCGCCUUGAGUGAGAACAACGAAGACUCAAUCGUGCGACGCGACCUUUCGGACAUGGCCACCCGAAGCUGUGAUGGCGAAGACAAUGGCGCGGCGACGGUUGGCGGCAGCAGCGACGAACCGCGUUAUGUUGAUCGUGGGUGUCAACAGACGGUGCCGUGGGCUGACAAAGCUACGCAGUGCAAGCUGGAUACAUGUGCACGCUAUGACCAAAUGUACAGAGAGCAUGAGACGCGCAUGGAGGGGCUGCGCGUGCUGCAUGACAAAUAUCGUGAGCUGCUCAACAGACCGGCCCGUAAUUUGUCAAAAUAAUCCUGGAGUUCUUCUGGGACGUGACAAUACCAAAGUUAAUAAUUUUCACUUUUCGUUUGUCACUCAAAUAUGGUUCUGAUUUUACUUUUUUUUUGGAGCGCAGUACUGCUCCGGAAACUAGUUUCCCAUGCCAAGUAUAUAUGUCAUGGUAACAUAAGGCGUAUUUGACUUUUAUUCUUCUGAAUAACUGACGCGUGCCUGCUAAAUCUGCUUCAAUACAGGGCGGACUUGCCAUGGAGUGAAUGAAACACUAAAUGUGGAUUGCAGUGAAACACUUGGCGACAGGUCUGCUUGGAACGUAGUGCCCAUGAACGAAAGGUUCUGAUCCUCCGUGAAGUGGUUCUCUUCAUAUAGAGCUUUAGCCUGCUCCUUGUGGCCACCGUAUAAAGAGGUGGCCAUCCAGCAACUGGGAUUGAACCACGCACCGUCUAUUGUCAAGCCAGUUGUCUUACCCACUAGGCCACAGCUGCGCAAAGGAUCCUGUAGGGUUUCGCU